rnacentral:rRNA from 1 species
GACGAACGCUGGCGGCGUGCUUAACACAUGCAAGUCGAACGGAAAGGCCCUGCUUUUGUGGGGUGCUCGAGUGGCGAACGGGUGAGUAACACGUGAGUAACCUGCCCUUGACUUUGGGAUAACUUCAGGAAACUGGGGCUAAUACCGGAUAGGAGCUCCUGCUGCAUGGUGGGGGUUGGAAAGUUUCGGCGGUUGGGGAUGUACUCGCGGCUUAUCAGCUUGUUGGUGGGGUAGUGGCUUACCAAGGCUUUGACGGGUAGCCGGCCUGAGAGGGUGACCGGCCACAUUGGGACUGAGAUACGGCACAGACUCCUACGGGAGGCAGCAGUGGGGAAGAUUGCACAAUGGGCGGAAGCCUGAUGCAGCAACGCCGCGUGCGGGAUGACGGGCUUCGGGUUGUAAACCGCUUUCGCCUGUGACGAAGCGUGAGUGACGGUAAUGGGUAAAGAAGCACCGGCUAACUACGUG